rnacentral:rRNA from 1 species
UGGCGGCCGUAGCGCGGUGGUCCCACCUGACCCCAUGCCGAACUCAGAAGUGAAACGCCGUAGCGCCGAUGGUAGUGUGGGGGUCUCCCCAUGUGAGAGUAGGGAACCGCCAGGUU